rnacentral:rRNA from 1 species
AUUGAACGCUAGCGGCAUGCUUUACACAUGCAAGUCGAACGGCAGCGCGGACUUCGGUCUGGCGGCGAGUGGCGAACGGGUGAGUAAUGUAUCGGAACGUGCCCAGUAGCGGGGGAUAACUACGCGAAAGCGUAGCUAAUACCGCAUACGCCCUACGGGGGAAAGCAGGGGAUCGUAAGACCUUGCACUAUUGGAUCGGCCGAUAUCGGAUUAGCUAGUUGGUGAGGUAACGGCUCACCAAGGCGACGAUCCGUAGCUGGUUUGAGAGGACGACCAGCCACACUGGGACUGAGACACGGCCCAGACUCCUACGGGAGGCAGCAGUGGGGAAUUUUGGACAAUGGGGGCAACCCUGAUCCAGCCAUCCCGCGUGUGCGAUGAAGGCCUUCGGGUUGUAAAGCACUUUUGGCAGGAAAGAAACGUCGCGGGCUAAUACCCCGUGGAACUGACGGUACCUGCAGAAUAAGCACCGGCUAACUACGUG